GCAAACUUGGUCAUUUAGAGGAAGUAAAAGUCGUAACAAGGUAACCGUAGGUGAACCUGCGGUUGGAUCAUUAAUGGAGAAGGGGGUAGGCUAGGUUUCGGCCUAGCUAUUUCCGGACACUUUGUGAAAUGUUUAUAGUCUCUGGCGUGAGUGCGUUGGCCAAGGCUAUUCAUGCUGCGCGCGCGUAGCCCUCCCUUUCGUGCCUAGGGUGGUAUCCCUAGCUAGCUAGCUAGGGUUGGGGUGCGCGUGUGGGUAUGAUGAUGAUGAGCUAACCCUCGCGCCUAUAUGCACAUUGUAUAGUAUACUCACUGCCUAUAGCCUAUGUGAAUCUUUAAUUAAAAACAACUUUUAACAACGGAUCUCUAGGCUCUCGCAUCGAUGAAGAACGCAGC
rnacentral:misc_RNA from 1 species